GUCCCAUAGGGAGGGCCCCCUGGAGUGGGUGCGGUUCUUUAGGUGGGCUCCACCCAGGAGCUACUGGAGGGAGGGGGCACAGGGAGGGGAGAGUGAACAGAGAGGAGGCCUGACAUACUCUUGAAGACUUUCCUGUUUUCUACUGCUAUGUCGAUACCAUGCACCCUGGAAGUUGCCAACAGAGGAACAGUUUUUUAAAAAGGCAAAUAAACAAAACAACUCCCUGUUUAGUAAAGGGGGAGGUCAAACUCCAUGAUGGAUACCAUCAAGGGGCAACUUCUCUACCACUCCCCAGUCAUCUAGAUCCUGCCACUCCUCUCUUUAGUUCAUGGAGCCUCAGCUCCAUGCUCAGGCCUAAGAGAUUGCAAACCUCCAGUUUAAUAUCAAAAUUUCACAACCACAAAGACAUUGUGGCGAAGUGAAAUGAAUGUGAAGGAGUGGCUCUAAGGGGUUCUGCCACUUACGAUCUAUGUAACUGACACCAAGUAUGUCACUUCUCUGGGUCUCAGUUUCUUCAUCUGAAAAAUGGGGGGCAGGGGAGCCAAAACGUUACAACUUCAAGUCUUAUUACCUAGAUCUUCAUGGAAUGGAUCAUGAAAAAAGCACAACAUUCACAUUUCAUCAGCCUACCUGGUGAAUUCCAGUAACCUGGUUGGGGGAAUACAAUGUUUGGGCACUAAUGAAGCAGAGUAGAUCGAUCUAAAAUUCUUAACUGAGUAUCUCAACCCCACUUUGACUCAGGAACAUGAUAUUCUCAAGUCUCUGGAAUGGAGCUGAACUGUUCCUGUCCUUUCUCUCCUGACUUAUCAUCCUGCUAGCACUGGGUCGAAGGGAGGGAAGGAGGAAUGAAUGCUGGCUCUACGAGAAGAAGGCUCUUCAGUCAAGGGUCUGUCUGACAACCUUCAAAAACAUCUAAUGGGUUCUGCAGGAGCUGCCUAUGACUGAGGGAGAGGAAAACUGCCAGGCUCCAGCCCCCUCACUCUUGAGUCACUUGGGGCUCAAGGUUCUCACACUGUAAUGUCAGCAUAGAGCCAACCGGGCAGAAUCAGGGCCAUAGCUUGGGAGGCUAAGAGAAACUAGGGAGGCUGAGUACCCCCACCAGGGCUGGAACUUCAGAGGUCAAGAAUGUAAACGGAAGAGGUCACUCCCACCGGAGUCAGAGGGGCUUUUAGCCCCCAAGGCGUAAUGACUUGGGGGAGGGGGGACAGGAAAGGAAAAGAGAAAGGAAGCCUGGGGGCAGCAAGUACCUCCACUAGGGUCAGAGUAUAGAAUGCCAGAUGUCAGAGCUAGGAGGACCCACAGAACACAGAACACCGAAGCCAGGAGCAAGGAGGGCCUCGGAACACAGAACAAGCUAUAAACACUGACUGCCGGAGCUGGAAGAGACCUUGGAGUUCACCUAAUCCAAGCCCCUUGCAGCAGCCUCCGAAAUGCAGCGAGCGCCCCUCUUCCGAAGACGGGGCAGAGGAAGGAGCCGGGGUCUUAGCGACACCCCUCCCCCUCAAGCCUUCAA